GAUGAACGCUGGCGGCGUGCCUAAUACAUGCAAGUCGAGCGAACGGACGAGAAGCUUGCUUCUCUGAUAUUAGCGGCGGACGGGUGAGUAACACGUGGAUAACCUACCUAUAAGACUGGGAUAACUUCGGGAAACCGGAGCUAAUACCGGAUAAUAUUUUGAACCGCAUGGUUCAAAAGUGAAAGACGGUCUUGCUGUCACUUAUAGAUGUAUCCGCGCUGCAUUAGCUAGUUGGUAAGGUAACGGCUUACCAAGGCAACGAUGCUUAGCCGACCUGAGAGGGUGAUCGGCCACACUGGAACUGAGACACGGCCCAGACUCCUACGGGAGGCAGCAGUAGGGAAUCUUCCGCAAUGGGCGAAGGCCUGACGGAGCAACGCCGCGUGAGUGAUGAAGGUCUUCGGAUCUUAAAACUCUGUUAUUAGGGAAGAACAUAUGUGUAAGGAACUGUGCACAUCUUGACGGUACCUAAUCAGAAAGCCACGGCUAACUACGUG
rnacentral:rRNA from 1 species